CAUUUAAAUACAGAACAUAGAGCUGUGAUCACCAUUCCUGUUUAAGGGAAUUAUUGGUUUUAUUGUAGUUAGUAGUUCAACAUUUCUUUUAUUUUAUAUAUUUAUAAAAAUACGAUGUUUAUCUGCCUGCAGCUUGUGAGUGCACGGUAUAAUACAUUUUAUAAAACUCUUGAAUAUUAUGCAAUGAUAGUAUGGAUUAUGCAUUUUCAGCGAUAUGCUCUCAAAUUGGCCAGGAAAUAAAAAUUUUACGUCAAAAUUGCUGAACUUUGUGAUAUCGCGUUGUGAAUGGAUGUCUUAUUUGUCUCUUGAAUAAAGAAUUUAAUAAUAAAAAAAAAAGUUUAAACGAUUGCCGAAUUGGAAACAUUCUCUAACUCACCAUGGCUAUCUUGGCCAAACAUUUCUAAUUUCCUGGUCAAUUUUGAUCCUCAUAAAUGUUUAUUUGUUUAAGCAUUUUAUUGUGCUGAACUAAAAAGCUGUAUUUAAGACAAAUUGAAAAAAAAAAUAUACAAACAAACAAAAAAACUGCAAUAUUCUUCACCUCGGUUUUGCAAAUAUUCAAAUGUACUAGAAUUCCUUGUUUACUGAAUAAGCCCUGUGUUCAUUUUUUUAAAAAUCUAGG